AUGCUGGUGCAAGAGAUAGCUUUGUCACUAUUAGGGAUGGGAGCAGAUGAAGAAAGAAUGGAAGGCAGAGGAAGACAGUUCUUGAUGCUGGAUUCCUUCUCCACGCUCCUGGAGCUUGUCACGCUCCGCCAUCGCUUGGUAGAAGUGGCAACAGAGAGUGCACAGUUAGCCAGGUUAUAUAAGGCUUUUGCAAUGGAAACAGGUUUUGGGGAGUUCCAUUUGUAUCUGAGGCCAGCACACUUUGAAUCUGCAGUUCACAAGGAGAAAGCAGACCAUCUCCCGCCAAUAUUCAUUACCUCUCUCUUGGAAGAUGACAGCUGUGUUGACAGAUAUAUCCCAUCUAGCUUACCAUUAAGCAUUCAAGAAAUCGACAGUCAUAUCGGAAAUUUUAGUUUUCGUACAAGAGAUGCUGUCAUGCAGGUGAAUGAUUUAAUUUGCAGAAUAAGUGAAGAAUAUGUAUUAUUAUUUAUUUGCAGGGGUGUGUAA
rnacentral:lncRNA from 1 species